rnacentral:rRNA from 1 species
CUUGACCUCAAAUCGAGUAGGACUACCCGCUGAACUUAAGCAUAUCAAUAAGCGGAGGAAAAGAAACUAACAAGGAUUCCCCUAGUAACGGCGAGUGAAGAGGGAAGAGCUCAAAUUUUGAAUCUGGCACCUUUGGUGUCCGAAUUGUAAUCUAGAGAAGUGUUUUCCGUGGCGGACCGUGCAUAAGUCUCCUGGAAUGGAGCGUCAUAGAGGGUGAGAAUCCCGUAUAUGGCAUGGACUCCCGUUGCUCUGUGAUACACUCUCGACGAGUCGAGUUGUUUGGGAAUGCAGCUCUAAAUGGGUGGUAAAUGCCAUCUAAAGCUAAAUAUUGGCGAGAGACCGAUAGCGAACAAGUACCGUGAGGGAAAGAUGAAAAGCACUUUGGAAAGAGAGUGAAACAGUACGUGAAAUUGUUGAAAGGGAAACGCUUGAAGUCAGUCGCGCCGUUCGGGAUUCAGCCUUGCUUCUGCUCGGUUUACUUCCCGUUGGGUGGGUCAACAUCAGUUUCGGUCGGAGGAGAAAGACUUGGGGAAGGUAGCAGCACUCGUGCUGUGUUAUAGCCCGUUGUUGUAUACUUCGAUUGGGACUGAGGACCGCAGCACGCCUUUGGCCGGGGUUCGCCCACGUACGUGCUUAGGAUGUUGGCAUAAUGGCUUUAAGCGACCCGUCUUGAAACACGGACC